GAUGAACGCUGGCGGCGUGCCUAAUACAUGCAAGUCGAGCGAACAGACGAGGAGCUUGCUCCUCUGACGUUAGCGGCGGACGGGUGAGUAACACGUGUAUAACCUACCUAUAAGACUGGGAUAACUUCGGAAAACCGGAGCAAAUACCGGAUAAUAUAUUGAACCGCAGGGUUCAUUGGUGAAAUACGGUUUUUCUGUCUCUUCUCGCUGCAUCCGAGCCGCAUUAGAUAGUUGGUAAGGUCACGGCUUACCAAGGCAACGAUUCGUAGACGACGUGAGAGGGUGAUAGGCCACACUGGAACUGAGACACGGUCCAGACUACUACGGGAGGCAGCAGUAGGGAAUCUUCCGCAAUGGGCGAAAGCCUGACGGAGCAACGCCGCGUGAGUGAUGAAGGUCUUCGGAGCGUAAAACUCUGUUAUUAGUGAAGAACAAAUGUGUAAGUAACUAUGCACGUCUUGACGGUACCUAGUCAGAAAGCAACGGCUAACUACGUG
rnacentral:rRNA from 1 species